UACGUAGGGCGCAAGCGUUGUCCGGAAUUAUUGGGCGUAAAGCGCACGUAGGCGGCUUAGCAAGUUGGAUGUGAAAGCCCUCGGCUUAACCAAGGAAGUGCAUCCAAAACUGCUGAGCUUGAGUAGUUAAGAGGAUCGCGGAAUUCCCGGUGUAGAGGUGAAAUUCGUAGAUAUCGGGAGGAACACCAGUGGCGAAGGCGGCGAUCUGGGAACAUACUGACGCUGAGGUGCGAAAGCGUGGGGAGCAAACAGG
rnacentral:rRNA from 1 species